rnacentral:lncRNA from 1 species
CUUUCCAAACUCUUAGUUUAACAGAGAAGCCACAUAGAGAUGAUCAGAGCAUUCACUGAGAAAAGUCUGGUCCUACAGGCUCCCAAACGAAGCAAAUGAAAAUUACAUCAGAAAAUUCAGUAUCUGGCCUCCAAAGAGAAAUUAUGUGUGUCCCUGGACUAUGUUCAACAUGUGGUAUGACUAGAGCUUUGGUUGUUUCCUUUUAUCCUGGAAAUUGUAAGCAAAGUGGAGAGACACGAAUUCAAGUUCUAGAUACGUUCAAACCCCUGCAGUACCAGUUGUAUUGGGAAGAGGCAAGUGAGAUCUUGGGCAUGGUGAAUAGGCCUAAAAUCUGAAUCACUCAUAUGUUACAAAAAGAAGCAUGGAGAACAUGGAGAAAAAAGUUCUUGGCACGUUGAUUUAUGAACUUGUUUAAUACUGGACAUGUGGAAAAUCAUCACCAGUAAAUCACAUCCCCACUACUAACGCC